rfam:Triticum urartu cultivar G1812 contig628205, whole genome shotgun sequence.
UUAGUACUCCCUCCGUCUGAAAAAACUUGUCCCAACUUUGUUCUUAAAAUGGAUGAAUCUAGCACUAACUUGGUGCUUGGUGCUAGAUACAUUCAUUUAAGAGACAAGCUUUUUCGAACGGAGAGAGUAUUAU